rnacentral:rRNA from 1 species
AUUGAACGCUGGCGGCAUGCCUUACACAUGCAAGUCGAACGGUAACGCGGGGCAACCUGGCGACGAGUGGCGAACGGGUGAGUAAUGCAUCGGAACGUGCCUGGUAGUGGGGGAUAACUGCUCGAAAGAGCAGCUAAUACCGCAUACGACCUGAGGGUGAAAGGGGGGGAUCGCAAGACUUCUCGCUAUCAGAGCGGCCGAUGUCGGAUUAGCUAGUUGGUGGGGUAAAGGCCCACCAAGGCGACGAUCCGUAGCUGGUCUGAGAGGACGACCAGCCACACUGGGACUGAGACACGGCCCAGACUCCUACGGGAGGCAGCAGUGGGGAAUUUUGGAAAAUGGACGCAAGUCUGAUCCAGCCAUGCCGCGUGCGGGAAGAAGGCCUUCGGGUUGUAAACCGCUUUUGUCAGGGAAGAAAUCUUCUGGGUUAAUACCUCGGGAGGAUGACGGUACCUGAAGAAUAAGCACCAGCUAACUACGUGCCAGCCGCCGCAGUAACAC